rnacentral:rRNA from 1 species
UACGAAGGGGGCUAGCGUUGCUCGGAAUCACUGGGCGUAAAGCGCACGUAGGCGGCUUUCUAAGUCAGGGGUGAAAUCCUGGGGCUCAACUCCAGAACUGCCUUUGAUACUGGGAAGCUCGAGUCCGGAAGAGGUGAGUGGAACUCCGAGUGUAGAGGUGAAAUUCGUAGAUAUUCGGAAGAACACCAGUGGCGAAGGCGGCUCACUGGUCCGGUACUGACGCUGAGGUGCGAAAGCGUGGGGAGCAAACAGG